rnacentral:rRNA from 1 species
UACGUAGGGUGCAAGCGUUAAUCGGAAUUACUGGGCGUAAAGCGUGCGCAGGCGGUUGUGCAAGACCGCUGUGAAAUCCCCGGGCUUAACCUGGGAAUGGCAUUGGUGACUGCACGGCUAGAGUGUGUCAGAGGGGUGUAGAAUUCCACGUGUAGCAGUGAAAUGCGUAGAGAUGUGGAGGAAUACCGAUGGCGAAGGCAGCCCCCUGGGAUAACACUGACGCUCAUGCACGAAAGCGUGGGGAGCAAACAGG